UACAGAGGUCUCAAGCGUUGUUCGGAUUCAUUGGGCGUAAAGGGUGCGUAGGUGGCGCGCUAAGUCAGGUGUGAAAUUUCGGAGCUUAACUCCGAAACUGCAUUUGAUACUGGCGUGCUUGAGGACUGGAGAGGAGACUGGAAUUCAUGGUGUAGCAGUGAAAUGCGUAGAGAUCAUGAGGAAGACCAGUGGCGAAGGCGGGGCUCUGGACAGUUCCUGACACUGAGGCACGAAGGCCAGGGGAGCAAACGGG
rnacentral:rRNA from 1 species